UCUACGCUAGGGGGCUGUUUUCGGCCAUAGAUGGAAAAAUUGUGGAUUGUUGGAAAUAUUAUGUGAAUUGUUUAGAAUGUUCUUGGAUGUUGUUAGUAUGGGUUUGGGUUAGUAUUUGAAUGUAUAAGUGUUGAUGUUGGCUUUGAAGUAAACCGUUGAAUUGAAUAUUUGGAAAGUUGUCGUAUGGUGUAAAAAAGAGCUAUUAAUGUUAUUUUGCCUUUCGAAUUGAUUAUCGAUGUUGCUAGGUUGGUUAUUGUGGUUGUUGUUGCUGAUUUUGAGCGAGUUAAAUUCUCGGGUUAGCCUAUUUACAGGGGAAGUGCUGCCGAAUUUUCUGUAGAAUUUAGAAUUAGUUGGAAUAAAUGACUUAAGUACCUAUGGCUAAUGUUUGAUAUUCGUUGGCGUAUUCAUAGGCCUUGGGGAGCCCGAGGCGUAGGUUGGGAUUAAUUUUAGUUGGGCAAACUUGGAGCGCGUACGAGGUACAGACGCACAGUUUGGUGAUCUACCCAUUUAGGACACCCUCUUCUGCUGUUUGGAGUGCUCUUCUCAUUUCAGAGCACACAUUUUGGUAUAUAUUCGUUCGCUAUGUAUAUAUGUAUUUAUUCAGGGGCACGGCGGGGCCCUGUCCCGCCAUAUGAUUCGGUUUGUCUGUUUAGAGGUCUGUAGACGUAUUUGUGGGUGUGUGUGCCUACUUCUGUACGGAUGUGUUUGCAUGACUCUAUUCGUUAUGGCAGCCUCGUCGGCGUGCAUUUUGUAUAUGUUGUGGCAGCCUUGUCGGCGUGCAUUUGUAUAUGCGUUUUGGGCCGUUGUGCCAUUUGACAGCCUUGUCGGCUUUUGACAUAUUUGAUAGCCUUGCCGGCUUUUUGACAUCUAUACAUAUAUAUCCGCAUACGGUUGCGUUGA